CUUUCAGAUAUAAUUCUCUAAGCUCUUUGGUUUCCUUAAAGAAACUGAGGAUUAACUUAAAAAUAGUUUUCUUCCCUGCCUUAUAAUUCUUGCAAUAUGUAAGACAUGUGUCUACUUUGAAAACUGAUUUUAAUAUGUGGGCUGCCUGUUCAUUAUUGACAGAAAUCAUUUUUGCUUUCUACCUAUCACCCAGGAGAUCUCAGAUCUUAGUUGGGGAACAUUAUUGCUGGGCUUGUUUCAUGUAUACUCUUAUCACUACUUUUCAAUAUAUUUGCUGGUAGUACAACCUUAUGUAUAGCUGUCUCCAAAAGCCAGCCAACAAGUAUCUCACUGGGACAGGUUUUCCAUCUUCUCUCAAUGCCUUGUUUUCUUCCUUUCAUGCUACAGGCAUAUUGAUCUUGAUGAGAAAGCUCACUCAGAGAAGUAGUCAAGAAAGCAAUAUAUUGAAAAUAAAGCCAUGUAUGUAGCAACGAAGGUAUUCAAGGUGCCCACUUUGAUGACUUGUACUCGUGCCUUUGAUCCCCACUGUAGAAAAUGCUCUGCUCCAUUUCAAAAGAGAUUGCCUUGUGCCCCAUUUGUUGGCCUUUGGAUCAAACCAGCAACAGACCUCACAGAUAGAAUUCCACCAUUAGCCAUUCACAAAGAGGGUGCAGUCUUGACUUAA
rnacentral:lncRNA from 1 species